AAAAACAUUUGCCAUCAAGAUGCACAGGCAGAAAUAUUAGUCCACAGUUAUAAAAGACCUAAGAAAAACAUUGAAAUGAAAGACACUUCAUCAACAUUUACAAUUAAAGAGAAGA